GAUGAACGCUGGCGGCGUGCCUAAUACAUGCAAGUCGAGCGAACGGACGAGAAGCUUGCUUCUCUGAUGUUAGCGGCGGACGGGUGAGUAACACGUGGAUAACCUACCUAUAAGACUGGGAUAACUUCGGGAAACCGGAGCUAAUACCGGAUGAUAUUUUGAACCUCAUGGUUCAAAAGUGAAAGACGGUCUUGCUGUCACUUAUAGAUGGAUCCGCGCUGCAUUAGCUAGUUGGUAAGGUAACGGCUUACCAAGGCAACGAUGCAUAGCCGACCUGAGAGGGUGAUCGGCAACACUAGAACUGAGACACGGUCGAGUCUCCUACAGGAAGCAGCAGUAGGGAAUGUACCGCAAUGGGCGAAAGCCUGACGGAGCAACGCCGCGUGAGUGAUGAAGGUCUUCGGAUCGUAAAACUCUGUUAGUAGGGAAGAACAGAUGUGUAAGUAACGGUGCACAUCUUGACGGUACCUAAUCAGAAAGCCACGGCUAACUACGUG
rnacentral:rRNA from 1 species